rnacentral:rRNA from 1 species
AUUGAACGCUGGCGGCAGGCCUAACACAUGCAAGUCGAACGGCAGCACAGAAGAGCUUGCUCUUUGGGUGGCGAGUGGCGGACGGGUGAGUAAUGUCUGGGAAACUGCCCGAUGGAGGGGGAUAACUACUGGAAACGGUAGCUAAUACCGCAUAACGUCGCAAGACCAAAGUGGGGGACCUUCGGGCCUCACACCAUCGGAUGUGCCCAGAUGGGAUUAGCUAGUAGGUGGGGUAAUGGCUCACCUAGGCGACGAUCCCUAGCUGGUCUGAGAGGAGGACCAGCCAGACUGGAACUGAGACACGGUCCAGACUCCUACGGGAGGCAGCAGUGGGGAAUAUUGCACAAUGGGCGCAAGCCUGAUGCAGCCAUGCCGCGUGUAUGAAGAAGGCCUUCGGGUUGUAAAGUACUUUCAGCGGGGAGGAAGGCGGUGAGGUUAAUAACCUCGCCGAUUGACGUUACCCGCAGAAGAAGCACCGGCUAACUCCGUGCCAGCAGCCGCGGUAA